UUUAUAUUGCUGCCUUUGAACCUCUGUGUUCACAAGUUAAGGUUUUAUUUUACUCAGUUGCUGAGACAUGGAAUUCUGAUUUGGACAAUAAGCCACAUUCUCAGUUCACAUAAAUCAGCCAAGCUCCAUUAAAAUAAAGCUCUAGAUCUGGGUCAAAUUAAGAAUUUGAGAUUGGCUAAAGGUCUAUAUCUAGCACAACAUUCCCCUGCCAUGAGAGAUAAAAGCUGAAUGCUGAGGUCCUGCAGAAGGGCUCAAGUUGAAUGGAAUCAUGGAAACAGUGAAUAUGGGCUGAGAGACUGAAUCUUCCUCCCAUCUGGGAGCAGCUCUGGCGUGUGUUUUCCCAUGUGAGAGUCUGGAGAAGUGGGUUACGUGGGCAGGGAUGAAUGGGAGAGAUUUUCUCAUCGUUGUGUUUGCACUAAACCGUGAGGAGCACUUCUCCACAGGAUGUAAAAGUUUUGGCAUAUUCCUACAGAUCCUUCUUGUUUGUCCUUUCAGUGACCUUUCCCUCUCCUUUGCUGCUCUACAAACUAUUAAAGGUUCUACUGGAAAGUGGGCUGCAGAGUGAGACACAUUUUACAGGAUUUGGUUUAUAAGACCAGUUAGAGAGGUCUGAUUUUGGAAGAAGAUCACAAGCACAUGCUCUAAAACCAGUCUCUCACUUCCCCUAUAGUUCAAGACCUUACAGUAUUUUUUCUCUUCUGAAAAAAAUCUAUUAUCCGUUAGUGGCUGAUUCAUAUUUCUGUAAUUAGAGUCUUCUCCCAUCCCACAGCUCCUAAGCCAAGAUACUGACUGCUUUGUUUACACUUCCAUGAAGCUAAUAUUUGGAUGAUUUUACUGGAAUAUGAGUUUGACAAUUUCUGCUUGGAUUCCUCCUUAAUUUGUCACCUUGAGCAGAAAAAUUCCACAGUUAGUCUACCAGUUAGACUGCAUGAGAGACUAUCAAUGACAGGAUAAUGAUUUAAUUAUCAUUAUGAUAUGAUAUUAUGAUAUUAUGAUAUGAUAUUAUGAUUUAAUUUUCAAUACUGGGGAGUCAGGAAAUUUUAAAACUUAGCCUUCAGUUUUCCUGAAAUACAGGAAGAUAUAAGGGAAACUGUGAAUGAUUUUUAUUUAUCAAAAGUUGUAUCAAGGCCAUAUUUUCAUUCAUUUCUUUGUAAUUUCAGAAAUUGUAACUUAAAGGUGAAGCACCUUAACAUAAAGGUUUUGAUUAGGCAAGCACACAUAUUUUCAAUAUCACUCAGCUAAUUUAAAAUACUCUGGAAAAAGUUAACUAAAUAUGCAUCUAGGCUUUAAUUAAAGUAUCAAUGCAUGUGGGAUAUUCUUCACUACAGUCAAAGUAGUUUGGAAAAUUCUAACAUAGCAGAACCAGUCUCAUGACACUUGUAGAUAAUCUUUUCUAGCAUUAUUUAUUAAUCUAAUACAGUGUUACUACACUGCUUUUAAUGACUUUAUUUCUACUCUGCAAAAAACCCAACUAUAAUCUCUACAAUGAAGUAUGGAACCAGUUCUUUAAGAGAACUGAACUUUUAAUUAUCUUCAUUGUGUCUUCAAAAGUGUUAUUUUUUUUUUGGUCACAGUAUUGAUUAGUUAUGGCAUAGCAACUAAAGAUGAAUUCAUUAAACUCACUCCUGAGCUACCAGUAACACAGUUUAAGCAAAGAGAGUCAAACUGGUAACUGAAGAUGUGCAUGACAAUAAGAUUCAAGAAUUCAUUAGCUACAUUCCCAUAGGAAGUCUUUGCUAAAAAUUACAUGUAUCAAAAAAAGUAAUAAAUGUACAUGAAAAAGUAUCAAAGGCAUUAUGAAAAAAUGGAAGACUGCAGAAUUAAAGUUUUCAAUAAUAGACCUAUUUUCCAUUUCUUAGGUACCUUUAUUACUUUACUACAGAUCAGAAAUUCUUCAAGUUUUUAUUUUUUUUUGCAAACAUAUAAUUCAUGUUAAGAUUUUAGCCCAUUUUUAUUUUGCUUAAAGUGACUGAAGAAUUUAUUUUCAUACAAUACAAGGAGGAUUGGGAUACCGUGGAAGACACAUUAAACAGAGAUAAUUACUUGUUAGACCUCAUGGAAUAAAGUACUGAAGUUAAAAUCUUUGAGUUCCCCAGAUCCAUAGGUUCAGUGAGCCAAGCAUAAGUAUCUCAGAUAUGCUCACAAUCUUGGCAAACAUCUGAAUUCAGGCAUAAGAAAGAAGAAUCUGUUAAUUUUUACUAUUGUGUUUAGUUUCUGUGCCCUGUAUUUACAGGGUAUGGUGGAAUACCAAUGUUUGAUAUAAACCACAUCUUCAGGCACUACUUCUGAGUAAGUGGUGGAAAACAAAAUGGGUUAAAUUCAUCCAACAGAACUUCAGAAACCAACCUGAAGCUAUUUUCUUCCUUUCAAAUUCCCAGUCUACUAAGUUGUAGCUCUUUUCUGGGUGGAGUAAAGUAUAAUUUUUCAUUUGGUCCAUACUCUUUUGCACAUUAAAACAUGUUCAUUCUUUAAAUUCAUCUUUCAUGAAUGAAAACAAUCUAAUAAAAUCUCUGGAAUAAAGCACCAAGCAAAUAAAUUUUCAUUAUUGUAGAGGCUUAAAUCAUGACUUAGAACUACGUUUAUGUAUUUAUAAUUGAACUUAUUAAAAAAUCUUGUAACAUUUCACACAUCCUUUUCCAAAGAACAUAUAAAUUUGGCUCAAUCCCAAGAGCCUACUCUUGGAUGGAAUUCUUUAUUAUUAUAGAGUCCAGCAGAAAAGCACAAAGUCUCUGCAGUUUAGAUUUGACAACAAUUUUGCAAUUCUUGGAUUGCCAUUGUCUUUAUACCUUAAGAAACCUGUGGCAGCCAAGGAUCUCAGAAGUGGCAUUUAAUAAAACAAAGGCGUAAUAUGUGCCGCUGGCAUAAAAUUGGCAGUAGGAAGUACCAAGAUGAUGGCAAAGUCUCUUUGAGUUCACAAGUCAGAGUUUCCCAGGAUAAGUGCUUUAAUGGGACAGUGGAUGAAGGUGAAGUCAUGAACAACAAAUUCUGUAAAAACAGUGUCACUUCAUAGAUCCUCUUGUACAGGAAUACAUGAUGUAAAUAUGGGAUGUGCAAAGAAUUUGAAAACAAGCAGCUGGGACUUCACACUAUCACAAUGGAGAGGGUUUCAAACAUCAGCCUUCUUUUGAAGAGAUCUGGAUGUAUAUAAUUUGCCUUUAAUGGCAAAUUGGAAAGAGCUAAAUGUACUACUGAGGGCAGGAUCAGAAUUCAAGUCUCUUUGAGGAAGGAAACUUGUGCUAAGGGCCUGUGCUAUGGAAAAUAGAUGUGGAAUAGGGAAGAGUUGACUGGGUAACAGAGGUGGAUGGGCGAUUGUGAUGGGUGACAAGUCAGACAUUAAUAAACAUUUUGGCUGUAGUACGAAAAUGGCAAGCUUCAAAUCAGUAGAAGUGUCAAGGACAACAAAGACAAAUUUAUUCUCUGUCUAGCAAGAUCUUGGGACUGUAUCCAGUUCAGACACAACUCAAAGCAAGAAACAUGUUGACAAAUUAGAGUACAAAGAGGAACAAUAAAACCGAUAAGUUUAGAAAAUAUGAACUUUGUGGAAGGAGCAAUGUUUGUUUAGUCUAGAACAGACUGAGGGCAGAUAUAACAGGCUUGACAAUGUAAAAGCCUUUUACAAAGAGGAUGGCUUCUCUCAUCUGCAGGGGAAAGGAAAACAAUUUAUACUGUAUAUUUUCAUAAUAGAAGGAAUACUUAAUUAAAAUACCAAGUUCUAUCACAUACGGAGGGUCUUGUUCAUUGCACUUUAAAAAAACAAAUUAGAUAAAUGUUUUUUAAAAUAUUUGGUGUCCUGGCUGUAGGUAUUUCUGCCUCAGGGCACCAGGGUUGCACUAGAUCCCUAGGGAUCCUUCCGAUCCUUUGCAUUUACAUGCUUUCAGGAAUUAAUUUGACAAAAUAGAACAGCUUUAGCUGGAGGGAUCAAAAGCCUUCCAUCUGUAAAUGCCCCAGACUGUAGUGGAUAGAAGCCAAAGGAGAUGGUGAUUCAGACUCUUUCAUGUCUAGUUGUCCAAUCACUAACUAAAAAGGCAUUAUUUCACUUGGUUGUGCUCUGUAGGAAUAAACCAUGCUUACAUCACUAGAGCAAGAGAUAGGAGAAACCUGUUUUCUUUCAGAAUUUUUAGGCUAUAGCCAUAUCUUUGGCACUGUCAGUGCUAAUGUGGUUGUGAUCAGUGACAAAGCUGUAAAUGUCAUGGGAUUUAAUCAGGUUGAAGAGUUCAGGAGAGAAUUUGAAUGGUGGUUAUACCAAAUCACUGGAUAGAUGCUUAGUAAGGAAUGAUGUAUGCUGCAGUGACUGAGUGGGCUUUGGUAAACCCAAGCUAAACAAUAAAAAAAUCUUUUUGGAAGAUUUAACUUUUUAAUUGUAUUAUUCUUGUGCUCAGACAAGCUUAGUGCUUGUGAAUGAAAGUAGAUAUGACAGCAAAAGAGACAGGCAUAAUUUCUUCCUCUGUACAGGCACAGCACAAGCACAGCAUGAAAUACAUGAUGCUAAAAGGCUUUCUCAGUUUAUGGGAGGAUAGUUUAGUCUCCAGGCUGAUGCAGAAACAAUUACUUACCAAGGCUGAUGAUUCUGCUGUGGGUGCCUGUUCACUGGGAAAUGAGACUGAGAGAGGAGCGUAGGCUAAUGAACAGCUGUCACUAAUAUCUUGGACUAUAAAGCCAUAAUUUAGAACAGAAAUGUUACAUCAAUUGCAUGUUACUGGUCUGUUCAGAAAUUCAUUUCCACUACUAAAACAUUUUUAUAGGCAGAAUUGUUUCAUAUGCACAUUUUUAUUUCAGCUGAAUGUAAGACUCCCUAAUGGUAACUGAAAAAUGAAGCUACUUUCAAAAUUUUACAGUAUUUAUCAAGAAGAAUCAGAUGAAAUAGUGGGUGAAGCAUGACACAACCUUUUCCAGUAAUUUUUUCUUGUUAUUUGUUUCUUCUGGCUUAUAUCAGUUUUCUGUCCACUGCCCUCAGUGAAAAUACUUUGAAGUACUAUUGUGUGAGUUAGACAGAUGAAUGCAGAUAUACAGCACCUGACACCAAAGCUCCAGAACUCCAAACUCAUGUUUAUCAGCUGCUUAAAGCCAUCUGAAACCCAUAGAUACUUAUAAUUUUGGCCACUAGAUUCUCUUGACUGAUGUUCUUCCUGUGAUAUAACCUUAGUUUCUAUAUCAUGAAUAGCUCAAACCUCAAAUCUAAGUCCUAUCAGAAUCUGCUAAGAUAAUCCUUUGUUUAUUUUGAUUCACAGCCCAAUCCAGAAAGCAGUUUCAAACUUUCUUAACAAAACAGUCUUUUAAAAAGAGGAACAGCAACAGGUUGCCCUCCUUAAUCAUCAGACACUUUUAAUUUUGGGGAAAAGGUAAUAGAAAAUGGAGAAAGUUGUAAUAGAAUGUUCCGAACAGGUCAAUAAGACUGUGAAAUCACACAGGGCCUCUCUGGCUUUGUGGUUUCCCACAAACUGAUGGAUACCAUUACUGAACAUGUUAGUAUUAGUCUGAAGACCCCAGAUAAUCAUAUGUGGGCUUUGCAGCUCCAAAAGCAGGUCCUGCUUGGAAUAAAAGUUUUCUUUUGGAAGUCCCACCUGUAAAACAAUGGGACAAUUUCCAUAUACCUACUUUUGCUGGGUCUCAGUUGUGUAUGAAGUAUAAUGAUCCCAGUGUUGGAAACUUCCAUUACACAUGCAAUUGACUUUGUUGAUUUUCCUAUAUUGGCCUUUCAGGUGUGGGCACUGUGGUUUGAAGUUGAUGAAAACUCAAGCAAGCACCCUGAAGACUAAGACAACUGCUUUUUCACAUGAAACAUUGUGGGAGAUUUCCUACACAAGGCAGCUCUUGGCUCCAAAUGGAAGAGGAGUAUGAAGCAGAAGUGAAAGAGCAGUCAGCUGAAGGAACCAUAACAACAGUGCUGGGCUCAAGACAUUUUCCCGUGAAAACAUCCAACAUAAUUUGAGAUGGACUUUGAAGGACUGAUGAGUAUUUGGACAGCAGAAUUCCAAGAAGUUGUGCAAUGUGAAGUUAUACUCAGAUUUUAAUUUCACCAUUUGUUUACAAAAAUAUUAGCGAAGAUAUUAGUAAUAUCAGUAUGUAAUUAUGUGUCACCCACAGUUUUACACAAUCUGCAAUACCUACUCUUCUAUUGUAGAUGAAAUUAGGCUUAUGAGACAAGGUAUGUUCUCAAUGAUAGUGUCUAUUUAUUACUUUAUGGUCUUCUGAAGGCUGAUAAACUGAUUUUAUUUUCACUGUAUUGUGAACUGCUCUUCUAGGUUUAUUCUAGCAGUUCAUUGAGAGCAUCCUAAGGCAAAACAUAUUGGCUCAGCCAAGUAGGAAACAUCUGAAAGUGACUCCUUUAACUCAUUACUUAGAAAUUAAUUCCCCUUUAAUGCACCCUAUCCUUUUUGAUGAGCAGGAUGUUGCAGGACAUGUAUAUUCACAGGGAUACAUCAGCUAGGAUUAAGUCUGUUGAAGUUCUAGGCAGUUGUUAAACAGCAAAGCAAUGCACAGAGCAGAAAGAAGCAAAAUCCCAUUUACAUUUAUGUUUUCCUUCAAUUUAUAGUAACCAUUUAUAACAAGAAAAAGGAGAUUCUAUGACUCACAACCAUUUCAAUGUGACUGCUGGUUCCACAAAUUUGAACCACACACACACACAAAUCUAUGAGCUAGAUGCAGUGUGGGCCUGGUAACAUCUCCUGUCUGAAGAACCCACAGAAGUUUGACUUGAAGGAGAUUCCUCUUUCUUACUUACCACACUCUCUUUAGAAGCCAGCAGGAGAUAAGGAUCAGUAGAUCAGUAUUUUUAGAGAACUACAAACUUUGGUAUUCUGCUGAGCAGUGACUCUGCCUUAGGUCUGCCGAGCCCCCUGAAGCCCCCUCAGCAGCCACCUGAGCUUGCACAGAGCAGCAAGGAGAGGGGGCUGCAAAGCAGGAAACCUGCACUCCUAGGUGGGUUUGAUCUUUACUGUCUUUUUGUUCUGCUAAAAACCAAAAGUUUCUAAAACUAUUUAAGAAAACAGACUUUUCUAGUGUAGAAAGAAUAUUUACCUGCAACACCAAAGCCAAGUCCCUGUUCUUGACCAGAAAGAUCAGAGAGUUGAAAUUGUCUCUCCUACAGCUCAGGAAAAAAGCCUGAAAUUUUGCUACUUGGAUUUCAUGGAGGGGAAAAACAAAGAGGACUUUUCUUUCCUUCUUUCCUUCUACAUUCUUCCCUCUUCAAACACAUAUUUUGACCUACCCAUGUCUCCUUAUAAAUAUCUUCACACAUCAAACAGCUCUUCAAAACACAAGUCACCUUGCUUUGUUCCUCUGGACACCUUUCAUUUUUUAUGAAUCAGUAUUUUCCAAUAAAAAAACAGAUUCUUAUUUUGUUCCCAAAAACCUGCUCAAAAAUACACUUAUCUUUUGACUGCAGAAUAACUUAAAAGUAAAGUUUGAGAUAUAAUUCCCUCUUCCACAACUACAAAAAGACUGUGGCAAAAUUUAUAGAUUAUGAUUUGUAGGCCAGUCCUGUUAUUAACAGUCUCAAUUUCCUCUCCUUAAACAUACUAACACAAACUGUUCUUUUGGCUGAAAAGGGAGUGAAGAACAGAGCAGGCUGUGGCAUUUCCUUCAGGUCAUCCUGUCUCUGUGCCAAAAGCCUACCUUUUUUCUCCUGCACCAAAUGCAAUGAGUUCAGAAUAGCUGAUUAUGUUAGAGGAGAAAGAGCUCUGCAUUUUUUACUUUGCUUUUAAUAUACUUUCAGAGCAUUUCUUGAAUUGAAAUUAGAAAUUUUCGAUUCAUUAACAUUUCCAAAGAUUAUUUACUGGCAUCAGUUUAAGGCAGAACACAAAAAAAAGAAAAAUGACCUCUGCUUUUCAGUUACUUUUAGGGCAUGGAGGAAAGAGAAAUAAAUUUUACUUAAAAGUAUAUUUCUAGGGCACAGCUUGCCUGGCUUAUGAAGACAGCUGAAAAGGUUCUCACUUUGCUUGAGCUGAUGUGUUUGUGAAAGUCUUAUUUCUCCUCCCACCUCUUCUUUUCUUCUUCAGUGUCCAGUCUUGAAAACAAACUGACAGAUGUUCUCUUGGAUCAGCUUGUGAGACUUGCAAUGUCAGGAGUGCAAACAGACUUUUGCUGUUUAGUUCAGGAAAUGAGAUUCAGACAAUCUGAUAAAUAAACAGUGUUUAUUACUCCA